rnacentral:SRP_RNA from 1 species
UAAUUUUCGUCGGCUUGUGAACUCCGCCAGGACAGAAAUGUAGCAACGGUAGCAAGCCGGCCUGGAAAAGUUAU